GCCUACGGGGGGCAGCAGUGAGGAAUAUUGGUCAAUGGGCGCGAGCCUGAACCAGCCAAGUCGCGUGAGGGAGGACGGCCCUACGGGUUGUAAACCUCUUUUGCCGGGGAGCAACGGGCGUCACGUGUGGCGCCACUGAGAGUACCCGGAGAAAAAGCAUCGGCUAACUCCGUGCCAGCAGCCGCGGUAAUACGUAGGGGGCAAGCGUUAUCCGGAUUUACUGGGUGUAAAGGGAGCGUAGACGGCAGUGCAAGUCCGGAGUGAAAGCCCGGGGCUCAACCCUGGGACUGCUCUGGAAACUGUAA
rnacentral:rRNA from 1 species